rnacentral:tRNA from 1 species
UCCAGGAUAGCCUAGUGGAUAUGGCACCUGCCCGGUAAGCAGAAGGUUGUGGGUUCGAUUCCCGCUCCUGGAC